AAACGACUCUCGGCAACGGAUAUCUCGGCUCUCGCAUCGAUGAAGAACGUAGCGAAAUGCGAUACUUGGUGUGAAUUGCAGAAUCCCGUGAACCAUCGAGUCUUUGAACGCAAGUUGCGCCCGAAGCCAUUAGGUCGAGGCACGUCUGCCUGGGCGUCACG
rnacentral:rRNA from 1 species